CAGGAUCCCAAGAGAACUAUGGCUCUGAGCCAGCAGCUGCUGUCAUCAACAGCCUGCCCCAGGCCUGGGACACCUCUGAGCCUCCAUUGGUGGGGCCUUCACUGCCCAGCCCUGCUCAGCCCUGGCAUGCAAGGAGGUCAGCCAGGAGAACAGCACCCAGCUGUGGGGUGAGGCAGAGUCAGAGGCCAAAAGAGUGAUGAUCCUUCAGAACACUUCAGUCUCCCUGCUGACCUGUGAAUGUGAGAGAACUACACGGUAGAAACAAGAUUCCUCUGGCACCAUCGGACAUCACGUGAGGUUGAAGGCCAUCGCACUCAACUUCUGACCUCGAGGGGUGCUCCUUGCCCAGAUUCUUGGAGGAAGAAUUUAAAAAAUAUAUGGAAGUUUCACGGUGACAUAUUUUGGCUCAAUAUAACAGUUAACCAGUUGCCCUUGAGUCAUCUCCAACUCAUGGCGACCCCAUGAGUGUCAGAGCAGAACUGUCUCCACAGGGUUUUCAAUGGCUGUUUUUUUGGAAGUAGAUAUCCAGGCCUUUCUUCUGAGGAAACUCUGAGUCGACUCAAAUCUCCAACAUUUCAGUCAACAGCUGAGCACACCAACUGUUUACACCACCAGGCUCAAUAUAGGGAAGGACUUUCUUACAAAAAAGGCAAAGGCUAUCCUAAAUUCUCCACCGUGAACAUGUUUUCAGUAGAACCUGGACAACAGUCAGCCUGGAUGUUUUCAAGGGGUGGACUUCAGCAGUCACAGUUGACGGCCUUCCCAUAUACUCCCCAUGGCUUCAAACUGUAGGAACACGGAACUCUGUCUCAAGCCUUUCUCUGAUGGAAGGAGCCAGCCAGAAAUGUCAGGGAGUUAAGGGCCUACUGGGAACAGCCCUCAGCCAGGGACUGACAAUAGUUGGAGGAUAAAUACCCCAGCUCUCUCACCUUUCAAGUGGGACAACUUUGAGACAAGUUCUAUACCCAGCCAGAGGUCCCCAGUGGGAAUGGGCUGGCUGCCCAGAGCAGUCAUUAAUGCUUCGUUCUAUUUGCUUCUUUCCCAAACCACAUUCUGGGCUCCCCUGCCAGAGCUUCCAGAAUCACCUCCAAAAUAAGUUCCUUGUGCUCAAAUCCUUGUCUCAGGGUUUGCUAUUAGGGGAGCCCAAUCUGAGAAAGCGGGUUUGUGUACUGGGAUGGUUAAGUUGUGAGGGAAGGAAAACUGGAUCUCACCCUCUACGGCCUUGAAAGCUGAACCUAAGGAGAAUAAGAAAGGAAGAGGAUCCCUAAUGAUUAGGAGAAGAAGAGGCUGAGGCUAGAAUAUUGUUAGGGAUCACUGACUAUGCUAUGAGGACCAGGAAGAGCUGCCUCAGGUGUGACACCAAGAGAGCAGUCCUGGAAGUCCCCACCCUCACCUUCCCAGAGGGCAUGGCGACUUGUUAGAAAAUGACACAGCCUAAAUCUCAGAAAAGAUGGUAUUUGAAAACUUUCACAGCUAUUCCUUAGACCUCUGACUUCAGUUUGCUCUUUCAUCUCAAGAGUUUCAUAAAACUGUGUGUGUGUUUAAAAAUAUAUUAA